rnacentral:rRNA from 1 species
UACAGAGGGUGCAAGCGUCAAUCGGAGUUACUGGGCGUAAAGGGCGCGUAGGCGGUUAUGUAAGUGAGAUGUGAAAGCCCUGGGCUUAACCUAGGAACUGCAUCUUAUACUGCAUAACUGGAGUACUGUAGAGGGUAGUGGAAUUUCCGGUGUAGCGGUGAAAUGCGUAGAGAUCGGAAGGAACACCAGUGGCGAAGGCGGCUACCUGGACAGAUACUGACGCUGAGGCGCGAGAGCGUGGGGAGCAAACAGG